rnacentral:rRNA from 1 species
CAGUCGCCGCGGUAAUACGAAGGGGGCUAGCGUUGCUCGGAAUCACUGGGCGUAAAGGGUGCGUAGGCGGGUCUUUAAGUCAGAGGUGAAAGCCUGGAGCUCAACUCCAGAACUGCCUUUGAUACUGGAGAUCUCGAGUUCGGGAGAGGUGAGUGGAACUGCGAGUGUAGAGGUGAAAUUCGUAGAUAUUCGCAAGAACACCAGUGGCGAAGGCGGCUCACUGGCCCGAUACUGACGCUGAGGCACGAAAGCGUGGGGAGCAAACAGGAUUAGAUACCCCGGUAGUCCCUGUCUCUUAUAC